rnacentral:rRNA from 1 species
GUAGGGUNGCGAGCGUUAAUCGGAAUUACUGGGCGUAAAGCGUGCGCAGGCGGUUCGUUGUGUCGGUGGCGAAAUCCCCGGGCUUAACCUGGGAAUGGCCAUGGAAACUGGCGAACUGGAGUGUGGCAGAGGGGGGUGGAAUUCCGCGUGUAGCAGUGAAAUGCGUAGAGAUGCGGAGGAACACCGAUGGCGAAGGCAGCCCCCUGGGCUAGCACUGACGCUCAGGCACGAAAGCGUGGGGAGCAAACAGGAUUAGAUACCCUGGUAGUCCACGCCCUAAACCAUGUCAACUGGGUGUUCGGGAAGCGAUUUCUGAGUACCGUAGCUAACGCGUGAAGUUGACCGCCUGGGGAGUACGGCCGCAAGGUUA